UGGGCACUCAUGGUCCCCUGACACUGUUGAACCAGAGAGGCGACCUAUGGAGCAUGGCUUGGGUGAGGGGAGCUGGGUGACAGAGGGGACCAUGCCAGAGAGGAGAUCUAUGGAGCGUGGCUUGGGUGAAGGGAGCUGGGUGACAGAGGGGACCAUGCCAGAGAGGAGACCUAUGGAGGGUGGCUUGGGCAAGGGGAGCUGGGUGACAGAGGGGACCAUGCCAGAGAGGAGACCUAUGGAGGGUGGCUUGGGUGAGGGGAGCUGGGUGACAGAGGGGACCAUGCCAGAGAGGAGACCUAUGGAGGGUGGCUUGGGUGAGGGGAGCUGGGUGACAGAGGGGACCAUGCCAGAGAGGAGACCUAUGGAGGGUGGCUUGGGUGAGGGGAGCUGGGUGACAGAGGGGACCAUGCCAGAGAGGAGACCUAUGGAGCGUGGCUUGGGUGAGGGAAGCUGGGUGACAGAGGGGACCAUGCCAGAGAGGAGACCUAUGGAGGGUGGCUUGGGUGAGGGGAGCUGGGUGACAGAGGGGACUAUGCCAGAGAGGAGACCUAUGGAGGGUGGCUUGGGCAAGGGGGGCAGGGUGACAGAGGGGAUCAUGUGGCACGGAGGAGGAGCUGGG
rnacentral:lncRNA from 1 species